UCUUUCAAGGCUGUGGCACCAGUCUAGUAAGUAGUGGUGACGGUUUUGCACAUAGCUACAAAUGUAGAGAGAGCAGUAAUAAGUAUUCUUGUCUGUAUUAUAAGAGAAUGCCGUUUUGAGCAGACAAUACGAACGGAAUGUAUUGUCACGAUUGUCAACACUUUGGAACAGUUAGCUAAUCAACUAGUCAACUCUCUCCUGCAACGGAUCCAUAACAUUAUUUGGCCUAAUGGAGCUGGGGACUCAACGAGCGCUGCACACCCAGGAACACAGUCCAAGCUCGGCCCCUGCCGGCCAGCCUUGAAGAGAGAGGACCACCCUGUUACCACUCCCCCUUUCCCUUCUCCCCUCUCCCGACUAUUCCUCCCCCCAAAUUUCCCUCAGUGACCCUUCUCGACCUCUUCCCCAGCCCCUCUUCAGCCUCCAUCAUGAUCAUCGGCAAACUAAAGCAAAACCUGCUGGUGGCCUGUCUGGUCAUCAGCUCCGUCACAGUGUUCUACUUGGGACGUCACGCCAUGGAGUGCCACCACCGCAUCGAAGAGCGCAGUCAGCUCGGCUCCGGUCCUGGCGGGGUCCUGGCCCUGUCCUCGCUGGGCGGCAGCAUGCGGACUACCCUGCGGACGGGCCAGAAUCUCAGCAUCCCCUUUGUCUACAACAAGGACAUGCCACUUAUCUUCAUUGGCGGCGUCCCCCGUAGUGGCACCACGUUGAUGCGCGCCAUGCUCGACGCCCACCCAGAGGUGCGCUGUGGCGAGGAGACGCGCGUCAUCCCCCGCAUCUUGGCCAUGAAGCAGAUGUGGAGCCGCUCGGGCCGGGAGAAGAUGCGUCUGGACGAGGCGGGCGUGACUGAUGAGGUGCUGGAUGCUGCCAUGCAGGCCUUCCUGCUGGAGAUCAUCGUCAAGCACGGCGAACCAGCCAACUUCCUGUGCAACAAGGACCCUUUUGCACUUAAGUCACUGUCCUACCUGGCCAAGAUCUUCCCUCGGGCUAAGUUUAUAUUGAUGAUCCGGGAUGGCCGUGCUUCGGUCCACUCCAUGAUCUCACGGAAAGUGACCAUUGCCGGCUUUGACCUGGGCAGCUACAGGGACUGCCUCACCAAGUGGAACCGGGCCAUAGAGACCAUGUACACUCAGUGCCUGGAGGCGGCAGACAAGUGCCUGCCUGUGCACUAUGAACAGCUGGUCCUCCACCCAGAGAAGUGGAUGAGGACGCUGCUGAAAUUCCUCGACAUUCCCUGGAAUGAAGCGGUGCUCCACCACGAGGAGCUUAUCGGGAAGGCCGGAGGAGUGUCCCUUUCCAAGGUUGAACGGUCCACUGAUCAGGUGAUCAAGCCAGUCAAUGUGGAGGCCUUAUCCAAGUGGGUGGGCAAGAUCCCAGCGGAUGUGUUGAGGGACAUGUCCGUCAUCGCCCCCAUGCUGUCUCGACUGGGUUACGACCCCCAUGCCAACCCCCCAAACUAUGGCAAGCCAGACCCAAAGGUCAUGGACAACACCAGGAGGGUUUUUAAAGGUGAAUUUCAGCUACCUGAAUUUCUAAGAGAACAAUCACAGCUUCAGAAGACUCCAGAGAGGCCCAACCCCAGUUAGGAGGCCAAGGGGGGCAGCAACCAAAUCCACACAGAUUUGUCUUGAAGAUGAAUAGAACUCCAGUGAGGUUUACUCUCUGGAAAGCCAGACAGGGUACAGAGGGGCAGAGAGAGACAUCAACACAUCCAUCUUGCCACAUUUAGGAGACCUCAAGUGCUGUUCCAUGGAGGGGUCAAAGGGUCAUUUUAACUGGAUGGGAACUGUUAAUACAGUGACCACCACAUUCACCUAUUACGAAGCCCCAUGCUGGGGUCUGGACCACUCUUGCUCUUCAGAGAACUCUUGGCCUUUGAUGUUGUACUGUAAUAAAUUGCAUUUGUCACAAAAAAGUGACCACAGAAUGUUGUUGCUGUUUGUUUAGUUUCUUUGUCACAUCAUGCUCAUCUGGUUUAAAAAAAAAAAAGUUUUCUAGCUAUGAGAAAAUCUGUGAUUCUGUUGUAAGAAACUGCAGUGAACUUAAAUUGCAAAAGAAAGUAUUUAUGGGUGAAAGUUAGCUUUUUGAAAAUGCAAUAUCUAUUUUAAUGUUUAAUUUUUUCAUGCCUUUGUAUUGUGCAAUUCCAUGGGUACUGAUGUUCAAGAUCACAGUUUUGAGUAUUGACAGUGAUAAAAACAGGCAUUUUUUUAA